rnacentral:rRNA from 1 species
UACGUAGGUGGCAAGCGUUGUCCGGAUUUACUGGGCGUAAAGAGCGCGCAGGCGGUCGUCCAAGUCGCGUGUGAAAGCCCCCGGCUCAACUGGGGAGGGUCACGCGAUACUGAUCGACUCGAAGGCAGGAGAGGGUAGUGGAAUUCCCGGUGUAGUGGUGAAAUGCGUAGAUAUCGGGAGGAACACCAGUGGCGAAGGCGACUACCUGGCCUGUUUCUUGACGCUGAGGCGCGAAAGCUAGGGGAGCAAACGGG